rnacentral:rRNA from 1 species
UUACAGGUAACAAGGUUUCCGUAGGUGAACCUGCGGAAGGAUCAUUACAGUAUUCUUUUUGCCAGCGCUUAAUUGCGCGGCGAAAAAACCUUACACACAGUGUUUUUUGUUAUUACAAGAACUUUUGCUUUGGUCUGGACUAGAAAUAGUUUGGGCCAGAGGUUUACUGAACUAAACUUCAAUAUUUAUAUUGAAUUGUUAUUUAUUUAAUUGUCAAUUUGUUGAUUAAAUUCAAAAAAUCUUCAAAACUUUCAACAACGGAUCUCUUGGUUCUCGCAUCGAUGAAGAACGCAGCGAAAUGCGAUAAGUAAUAUGAAUUGCAGAUUUUCGUGAAUCAUCGAAUCUUUGAACGCACAUUGCGCCCUCUGGUAUUCCAGAGGGCAUGCCUGUUUGAGCGUCAUUUCUCUCUCAAACCUUCGGGUUUGGUAUUGAGUGAUACUCUUAGUCGAACUAGGCGUUUGCUUGAAAUGUAUUGGCAUGAGUGGUACUGGAUAGUGCUAUAUGACUUUCAAUGUAUUAGGUUUAUCCAACUCGUUGAAUAGUUUAAUGGUAUAUUUCUCGGUAUUCUAGGCUCGGCCUUACAAUAUAACAAACAAGUUUGACCUCAAAUCAGGUAGGAUUACCCGCUGAACUUAAGCAUACUAA